rfam:Salmo salar isolate Sally breed double haploid chromosome ssa13, whole genome shotgun sequence.
UGCAUUCACUACUGUAAGUCGCUCUGGAUAAGCGUCUGCUAAAUGACAAAAA